UGCAUUUUAGUGGGCAUUCACCAACAAACAAACCUAAACCCCAAGGACAAUCAACUAUCGCGUCGCAGACUCGCAGCAUGCAUCAACAGCCGCCAAAAAAAAACCCGGAUCAUAUCGUAUCGAAUGAAACCACAUCUCUGGAGAGUCAGUUGCGUCGCAAACCCGACUCCACAAAGCCGCAGAAGCAGCUGACUACUUUGCGCCAAUCAAUCCGCGCACGACGGCGCCCAAAGUCUCCAGCCGCCGUCGUCGUCGUCGCGCUCGCCGGCCGCCACGUACCAGUACCACCACCACCGCCGGAGACCCAGCGCGGCCGGCGGCUGCCUACUAUGUACUACUAGUCUACUAAUAUGUACCACGUGCCAAUUAGCGGCCGCAGCAUGCAGGAGCGCAGACAAACGCUGCCGGGUGCCCGGGUCGCGCGGGUCUGGAUGGCGCCCCGCUGGCUCACGCUCACGCGGAAAGGUGAGCAAAAGUGGCGUUGCGCUGCGGCGAAAGCUGUGGGGACUCAGGGCAGGGCAGGGCCGGGAUGCCUGCCGUGGGUGGCCGUGAGUGGGGGCGUGGCGUCGAUCGCCCCGCUGCCUUUUCGGAUCGGGGCUCCUCGGUGCUGGGCUGGGCGCGCGUGCCCGUGAGGUUGCUUUCGUCCGCGCUGGUGACCAAACCCAUGCUACACGCCCCCGUCGCCGUCGCCGUCGCCGACGAGCUAGCUAGGCCUGUGAUGUAUCCGACCUGUGCUCACAAGCACGCAUGCCGUCGCCGUGUUUGAUCGCCGACUGCGGAGGGAAAAAGAAAAAACCCGGUUGCCUCGUUAGUCUGCCUGCCCGUGCUCUCUCUCUCUCUCUCUCUCUCUCUCUC
rnacentral:misc_RNA from 1 species